rnacentral:rRNA from 1 species
CCUACGGGAGGCAGCAGUGAGGAAUAUUGGUCAAUGGGCGCGAGCCUGAACCAGCCAAGUAGCGUGAAGGAUGACUGCCCUACGGGUUGUAAACUUCUUUUAUAAAGGAAUAAAGUGAGGCACGUGUGCCUUUUUGUAUGUACUUUAUGAAUAAGGAUCGGCUAACUCCGUGCCAGCAGCCGCGGUAAUACGGAGGAGCCGAGCGUUAUCCGGAUUUAUUGGGUUUAAAGGGAGCGUAGAUGGGUUGUUAAGUCAGUUGUGAAAGUUUGGGGCUCAACCGUAAAAUUGCAAUUGAUACUGGCAGCCUUGAGUACAGGUGAGGUAGGCGGAAUUCGUGGUGUAGCGGUGAAAUGCUUAGAUAUCACGAAGAACUCCGAUUGCGAAGGCAGCUUACUGGACUGACACUGACAUUGAGGCUCGAAAGUGUGGGUAUCAAACAGGAUUAGAUACCCUUGUAGUC